rnacentral:rRNA from 1 species
AUUGAACGCUGGCGGCAUGCUUUACACAUGCAAGUCGAACGGUAACAGGCCGCAAGGUGCUGACGAGUGGCGAACGGGUGAGUAAUGCAUCGGAACGUGCCCAGUCGUAGGGGAUAACUACUCGAAAGAGUAGCUAAUACCGCAUACGAUCUAUGGAUGAAAGCGGGGGACCGUAAGGCCUCGCGCGAUUGGAGCGGCCGAUGUCAGAUUAGGUAGUUGGUGGGGUAAAGGCUCACCAAGCCAACGAUCUGUAGCUGGUAUGAGAGGACGACCAGCCACACUGGGACUGAGACACGGCCCAGACUCCUACGGGAGGCAGCAGUGGGGAAUUUUGGACAAUGGGCGCAAGCCUGAUCCAGCAAUGCCGCGUGCAGGAAGAAGGCCUUCGGGUUGUAAACUGCUUUUGUACGGAACGAAACGGCUCUGGUUAAUACCCGGGGCUAAUGACGGUACCGUAAGAAUAAGCACCGGCUAACUACGUG